GAACGCUGGCGGCAGGCUUAACACAUGCAAGUCGGACGGUAACAUAAAGAAGCUUGCUUCUUUGAUGACGAGUGGCGGACGGGUGAGUAAUGCUUGGGAAUCUAGCUUAUGGAGGGGGAUAACUACGGGAAACUGUAGCUAAUACCGCGUAGAAUCGGGAGAUGAAAGUGUGGGACCUUCGGGCCACAUGCCAUAGGAUGAGCCCAAGUGGGAUUAGGUAGUUGGUGAGGUAAAGGCUCACCAAGCCGACGAUCUCUAGCUGGUCUGAGAGGAUGACCAGCCACACUGGGACUGAGACACGGCCCAGACUCCUACGGGAGGCAGCAGUGGGGAAUAUUGCGCAAUGGGGGCAACCCUGACGCAGCCAUGCCGCGUGAAUGAAGAAGGCCUUCGGGUUGUAAAGUUCUUUCGGUAGCGAGGAAGGCAUUUAGUUUAAUAGACUAGGUGAUUGACGUUA
rnacentral:rRNA from 1 species